rnacentral:rRNA from 1 species
CAGCAGCCGCGGGAAUACGAAGGGUGCAAGCGUUAAUCGGAAUUACUGGGCGUAAAGCGUGCGUAGGCGGUGAGUUAAGUCUGCUGUGAAAUCCCCGGGCUCAACCCAUAGUCUGCACAGGAAACUGUCGGGCUUGAGAGUGGGAGAGGUGAGUGGAAUUUCCGGUGUAGCGGUGAAAUGCGUAGAUAUCGGAAGGAACACCUGUGGCGAAAGCGGCUCACUGGACCAUUUCUGACGCUGAUGCACGAAAGCUAGGGGAGCAAACAGGAUUAGAUACCCGCGUAGUCCCUGUCUCUUAUAA